GACGAACGCUGGCGGCGUGCUUAACACAUGCAAGUCGAACGGUAAGGCCCUUCGGGGUACACGAGUGGCGAACGGGUGAGUAACACGUGGGUGAUCUGCCCUGCACUUCGGGAUAAGCCUGGGAAACUGGGUCUAAUACCGGAUAGGACCCUGGGAUGCAUGUCCUGGGGUGGAAAGCUUUUGCGGUGUGGGAUGGGCCCGCGGCCUAUCAGCUUGUUGGUGGGGUGAUGGCCUACCAAGGCGACGACGGGUAGCCGGCCUGGGAGGGUGACCGGCCACACUGGGACUGAGAUACGGCCCAGACUCCUACGGGAGGCAGCGGUGGGGAAUAUUGCACAAGGGGCGCAAGCCUGAUGCAGCGACGCCGCGUGAGGGAUGACGGCCUUCGGGUUGUAAACCUCCUUCAGCACCGACGAAGCGCAAGUGACGGUAGGUGCAGAAGAAGGACCGGCCAACUACGUGCCAGCAGCCGCAGUAA
rnacentral:rRNA from 1 species